GAGUUUGAUCCUGGUUCAGGACGAACGCUGGCGGCAUGCCUAACACAUGCAAGUCGAACGGAAUAGAUUCCUUCGGGGAUUAUUUAGUGGCGAACGGGUGAGUAACGCGUGAGCAACCUGCCUUGGCGAGGGGGAUAACACUUGGAAACAGGUGCUAAUACCGCAUAAGACCACACCGCCGCAUGACGGAGAGGUCAAAGAGCAAUCGCUUAUGGAUGGGCUCGCGUCCCAUUAGGUAGUUGGCAGGAUAACAGCCUACCAAGCCGACGAUGGGUAGCCGACCUGAGAGGGUGAUCGGCCACACUGGAACUGAGACACGGUCCAGACUCCUACGGGAGGCAGCAGUGGGGAAUAUUGGGCAAUGGGCGCAAGCCUGACCCAGCAACGCCGCGUGAGUGAAGAAGGCCUUUGGGUUGUAAAACUCUGUUCUAUGGGAAGAAGAAGUGACGGUACCUAAGGAGCAAGCCACGGCUAACUACGUGCCAACAGCCGCGGUAAUACGUAGGUGGCAAGCGUUGUCCGGAAUUACUGGGUGUGAAGGGAGCGCAGGCGGGGAGCCAAGUCAGCUGUGAAAACUACAGGCUUAACUUGUAGACUGCAGUUGAAACUGUUUUUCUUGAGAGUGGGAGAGGUAAACGGAAUUCCUGGUGUAGUAGUGAAAUGCGUAGAUAUCAGGAGGAACACCGGUGGCGAAGGCGGUUUACUGGACCACAACUGACGCUGAGACACGAAAGCGUGGGGAGCAAACAGGAUUAGAUACCCUGGUAGUCCACGCUGUAAACGAUGAAUACUAGGUGUGGGGGGACUGACCCCCUCCGUGCCGCAGUUAACACAAUAAGUAUUCCACCUGGGGAGUACGGCCGCAAGGUUGAAACUCAAAGGAAUUGACGGGGGCCCGCACAAGCAGUGGAUUAUGUGGUUUAAUUCGAAGCAACGCGAAGAACCUUACCAGGGCUUGACAUCCAACUAACGAAGCAGAGAUGCAUUAGGUGCCCUUCGGGGAAAGUUGAGACAGGUGGUGCAUGGUUGUCGUCAGCUCGUGUCGUGAGAUGUUGGGUUAAGUCCCGCAACGAGCGCAACCCCUAUUGUUAGUUGCUACGCAAGAGCACUCUAGCGAGACUGCCGUUGACAAAACGGAGGAAGGUGGGAUGACGUCAAAUCAUCAUGCCCCUUAUGUUCUGGGCUACACACGUGCUACAAUGGUCGGUACAGAGAGAAGCAAAACCGCGAGGCCGAGCCAAACUCUAAAGCCGAUCCCAGUUCGGACUGCAGGCUGCAACUCGCCUGCACGAAGUCGGAGUUGCUAGUAAUCGCGAAUCAGAAUGUCGCGGUGAAUGCGUUCCCGGGUCUUGUACACACCGCCCGUCACACCAUGGAAGUUGGGGGCGCCCGAAGUUGGCUAAGAAGUUACCUAAGGCGAAACCAAUGACUGGGGUGAAGUCGUAACAAGGUAGCCGUUCGAGAACGAGCGGCUGGAUCACCUCCUU
rnacentral:rRNA from 1 species